rnacentral:rRNA from 1 species
GCUGGCGGCACGCCUAACACAUGCAAGUCGAACGAAGUAGCAAUACUUAGUGGCAGACGGGUGAGUAACAUGUGGGUAUCUGCCCUUUGGCCUGGAAUAACACGAGGAAACUUGUGCUAAUACCGGAUAAGUCUUUACGGAGAAAGCUUUAUGCACCAUUGGAUGAGCCCGCACUUGAUUAGUUUGUUGGUGGGGUAAUGGCCUACCAAGACUGUGAUCAAUAGCUGAUUU